AGCAGAAGGGCGGCAAAGGCGGGUGUGCCGUCCCCUUAGCCGCGGGGCCCAUGGAUAUGCUUUAAUCAGGGGCCAUGCAGACCGUCGGCCAGCAGUGGUGUCCCAUUGCCGUCCAUCCUGAUAUUCUUGGCACGCGCCCCUCGCCGCUUCCCCAGGCGUUCCACACCACAUUUGCACCGUCUUCCACGUCGCAGCCGACACGACGCUCACAUGGGAUCAGGCCGGUCUGUCGCGGCCACGAAUGCGCUUUCCACCCAGUCACUGGUACAUGGGUCGUGGACUCCGACGCCACGGCGCACAUGACGGCAACCGAAGGUAACCUGUUUCUGCUGUGGCCCCUUCCCUCCCCUCCCCUCCCCUCCCCUACUCUGUCACCGUUGGUAAUGGUGUCACCGUUCCAGUUUCGGCGUGUGGCACUGCCCUUCUUCCCACUCCUUCCUCCAACCUUAUUAUCCUAAAAACGUUAUACUCGUUCCCUCACCCACAAUUCGCUCGAGAGAAAUCAUGGAGCCUCAAAGCCAGCACCAGCCCUUCCAAAUUCCCACUCCAGAUACCAAAACGACGUUCUGGUUUACAAAUUACUCCCCAUACGUGUAAGUGGGGAUAUUUAAUCUACUCCAACGGACGAAAGAAGCCGCCGAGAUAAUCUUCUCGGCUUCUCGCACGAAAUGGCAGCCGGGUCUUCCAACGCCGGCCUCGUCGACGACUUCUACUUCGCAGCCCUCGCCCACGGGCGGAACGACGCCGACGCCUCCGGAGACGAUGAGCUCUUCCCGAUAUCGGACGAGAAGUACGCCGCGGAGCUCCAGCUACAGGAGGUGAUCAUGUCCUCCGCCCUUGCGGCCACGGCGAGCUCCUCGGUCGCGCCACGUCUUAGUAGCACAGCUGCCACGAGCAACAACGCAGCAGCAUCGUUCGUGUCGGCCGCUCUCGUCAAAGGUGAGUGCUCCUCUGCUGCCUCGUCGUCGCAGCCGUCCCUCGCCGCCACGUUCGUCUUCUGCAAGAUCUGCAUGGAAGCCGUGCCGCCCUCCGACGCGCACCGCGCCAGCCGUGGCUGCGCGCACGCCUUCUGCGGCGGCUGCCUCGAGCGCUACAUCGGCGCCAAGAUCCAGGACAGGAUCGCCGAAGUCAGUUGCCCCGAGGAGCGGUGCGGCGGCGUGCUGGACCCGGAGCUCUGCCAGGGCAUGCUCCCGCGGGAGGUCUUCGAGCGGUGGGGCGCCGCGCUGUGCGAGUUCAUGGUGCUGGGGGCCAAGAGGGCCUACUGCCCCUACGAGGACUGCUCGGCGAUGAUGCUGGUGGACGACGACGGCGACGUCCGCGACGUCGCGGAGUCGGAGUGCCUGAGCUGCAGGCGGCUCUUCUGCGCUCGGUGCGUUGUGGCGCCGUGGCACGCCGGCGUGACCUGCGACGAGUACGAUAGGUUCGGGAAGGUGGACAGUUGCAGGGAGGACAUGAUGCUGCUGGAGAUGGCCAAGGGGAAGAAGUGGAAGCGGUGCCCCAGGUGCGAUUUCUUCGUGGAGAAAGAUCAGGGCUGCCUACACAUUACAUGCAGGUACGUGCAAGUGUCGCCGAUCGAUCGACUUGCCGGCCGUUUUCUUCAUCGUUUCCGCAGAAGGGUACUGCCGUAUUUGAGGUGUUGAGGCCUUCUUGAAGCGUUGCAAAAAAAACUCUGAAUCAUGCGAGAAUUGAGCUGUUUCUCGCGUAACGUAAUCGGUGUGGCUUCGAGUUUUGCUACGGAUGUGGCCAGAAGUGGGGGGUCACUCAUUCUAGUUGCAGCACAGCGUGAGAUGUGAUGAAUGCUAUUUGGGAUCGAAGUAUAAAACCAGAAACGGUGUUGUUAUUCAGUGGUCAGUAACAUAUGUCCGAUAUCUGACUGAUUGUAUCUGAAGCUAAAUGUCAUGCAAUGCCUAGCUGCCAUGUUGGGCUAGUAUAAUUCUGAUUAUGGCUCCAGAAUAUCUACUCUUAUUUGGUGCAUUUUUGGCUGGGGAAAAUGCGCAUAAUGUCUAGGCGACCUGCACGAGGUACUUGAGUUCGUUACGGUUUCGGAUU